rnacentral:rRNA from 1 species
UUAAGCGACUAAGCGUACACGGUGGAUGCCCUGGCAGUCAGAGGCGAUGAAGGACGUGCUAAUCUGCGAUAAGCGUCGGUGAGGUGAUAUGAACCGUUAUAACCGGCGAUUUCCGAAUGGGGAAACCCAGUGUGUUUCGACACACUAUCAUUAACUGAAUCCAUAGGUUAAUGAGGCGAACCGGGGGAACUGAAACAUCUAAGUACCCCGAGGAAAAGAAAUCAACCGAGAUUCCCCCAGUAGCGGCGAGCGAACGGGGAGGAGCCCAGAGCCUGAAUCAGUGUGUGUGUUAGUGGAAGCGUCUGGAAAGGCGCGCGAUACAGGGUGACAGCCCCGUACACAAAAAUGCACAUAUUGUGAGCUCGAUGAGUAGGGCGGGACACGUGGUAUCCUGUCUGAAUAUGGGGGGACCAUCCUCCAAGGCUAAAUACUCCUGACUGACCGAUAGUGAACCAGUACCGUGAGGGAAAGGCGAAAAGAACCCCGGCGAGGGGAGUGAAAAAGAACCUGAAACCGUGUACGUACAAGCAGUGGGAGCCUCUUUAUGGGGUGACUGCGUACCUUUUGUAUAAUGGGUCAGCGACUUAUAUUCUGUAGCAAGGUUAACCGAAUAGGGGAGCCGAAGGGAAACCGAGUCUUAACUGGGCGUUAAGUUGCAGGGUAUAGACCCGAAACCCGGUGAUCUAGCCAUGGGCAGGUUGAAGGUUGGGUAACACUAACUGGAGGACCGAACCGACUAAUGUUGAAAAAUUAGCGGAUGACUUGUGGCUGGGGGUGAAAGGCCAAUCAAACCGGGAGAUAGCUGGUUCUCCCCGAAAGCUAUUUAGGUAGCGCCUCGUGAAUUCAUCUCCGGGGGUAGAGCACUGUUUCGGCAAGGGGGUCAUCCCGACUUACCAACCCGAUGCAAACUGCGAAUACCGGAGAAUGUUAUCACGGGAGACACACGGCGGGUGCUAACGUCCGUCGUGAAGAGGGAAACAACCCAGACCGCCAGCUAAGGUCCCAAAGUCAUGGUUAAGUGGGAAACGAUGUGGGAAGGCCCAGACAGCCAGGAUGUUGGCUUAGAAGCAGCCAUCAUUUAAAGAAAGCGUAAUAGCUCACUGGUCGAGUCGGCCUGCGCGGAAGAUGUAACGGGGCUAAACCAUGCACCGAAGCUGCGGCAGCGACACUAUGUGUUGUUGGGUAGGGGAGCGUUCUGUAAGCCUGUGAAGGUGGCCUGUGAGGGUUGCUGGAGGUAUCAGAAGUGCGAAUGCUGACAUAAGUAACGAUAAAGCGGGUGAAAAGCCCGCUCGCCGGAAGACCAAGGGUUCCUGUCCAACGUUAAUCGGGGCAGGGUGAGUCGACCCCUAAGGCGAGGCCGAAAGGCGUAGUCGAUGGGAAACAGGUUAAUAUUCCUGUACUUGGUGUUACUGCGAAGGGGGGACGGAGAAGGCUAUGUUGGCCGGGCGACGGUUGUCCCGGUUUAAGCGUGUAGGCUGGUUUUCCAGGCAAAUCCGGAAAACCAAGGCUGAGGCGUGAUGACGAGGCACUACGGUGCUGAAGCGACAAAUGCCCUGCUUCCAGGAAAAGCCUCUAAGCAUCAGGUAACAUCAAAUCGUACCCCAAACCGACACAGGUGGUCAGGUAGAGAAUACCAAGGCGCUUGAGAGAACUCGGGUGAAGGAACUAGGCAAAAUGGUGCCGUAACUUCGGGAGAAGGCACGCUGAUAUGUAGGUGAAGCGACUUGCUCGUGGAGCUGAAAUCAGUCGAAGAUACCAGCUGGCUGCAACUGUUUAUUAAAAACACAGCACUGUGCAAACACGAAAGUGGACGUAUACGGUGUGACGCCUGCCCGGUGCCGGAAGGUUAAUUGAUGGGGUUAGCGGUAACGCGAAGCUCUUGAUCGAAGCCCCGGUAAACGGCGGCCGUAACUAUAACGGUCCUAAGGUAGCGAAAUUCCUUGUCGGGUAAGUUCCGACCUGCACGAAUGGCGUAAUGAUGGCCAGGCUGUCUCCACCCGAGACUCAGUGAAAUUGAACUCGCUGUGAAGAUGCAGUGUACCCGCGGCAAGACGGAAAGACCCCGUGAACCUUUACUAUAGCUUGACACUGAACAUUGAGCCUUGAUGUGUAGGAUAGGUGGGAGGCUUUGAAGUGUGGACGCCAGUCUGCAUGGAGCCGACCUUGAAAUACCACCCUUUAAUGUUUGAUGUUCUAACGUUGGCCCGUAAUCCGGGUUGCGGACAGUGUCUGGUGGGUAGUUUGACUGGGGCGGUCUCCUCCUAAAGAGUAACGGAGGAGCACGAAGGUUGGCUAAUCCUGGUCGGACAUCAGGAGGUUAGUGCAAUGGCAUAAGCCAGCUUGACUGCGAGCGUGACGGCGCGAGCAGGUGCGAAAGCAGGUCAUAGUGAUCCGGUGGUUCUGAAUGGAAGGGCCAUCGCUCAACGGAUAAAAGGUACUCCGGGGAUAACAGGCUGAUACCGCCCAAGAGUUCAUAUCGACGGCGGUGUUUGGCACCUCGAUGUCGGCUCAUCACAUCCUGGGGCUGAAGUAGGUCCCAAGG